rnacentral:rRNA from 1 species
GUGGGGAAUAUUGGACAAUGGGCGCAAGCCUGAUCCAGCAAUACCGCGUGUGUGAAGAAGGCCUUCGGGUUGUAAAGCACUUUUAUAUGGGAAGAAGUGUUGUGUGUUAAUAGCGCAUAACAUUGACGGUACCAUAGGAAUAAGCACCGGCUAACUCCGUGCCAGCAGCCGCGGUAAUACGGAGGGUGCGAGCGUUAAUCGGAAUUACUGGGCGUAAAGGGUACGUAGGCGGCUUAAUAAGUCAGAUGUGAAAUCCCCGGGCUUAACCUGGGAACUGCAUUUGAAACUGUUGAGCUAGAGUGAGUGAGAGGUAAGUGGAAUUCAAGGCGUAGCGGUGAAAUGCGUAGAGGUCUUGAGGAACAUCAGUGGCGAAGGCGACUUACUGGCACUACACUGACGCUGAGGUACGAAAGCGUGGGGAGCGAACAGGAUUAGAAACCCUAGUAGUCC